GCGCGGGUAGCCAAGUGGCCAAAGGCGCAGCGCUUAGGACGCUGUCCCAUAGGGGUCCGCCGGUUCGAAUCCGGUCCCGCGCA
rnacentral:tRNA from 1 species